rnacentral:rRNA from 1 species
GAUCUGGCUCAGGAUGAACGCUGGCGGCGUGCUUAACACAUGCAAGUCGAACGGGAAAUACUUUAUUGAAACUUUGGUGGAUUUAAUUUAUUUCUAGUGGCGGACGGGUGAGUAACGCGUGGGUAACCUGCCUUAUACUGGGGGAUAACAGCCAGAAAUGACUGCUAAUACCGCAUAAGCGCACAGAACCGCAUGGUUCGGUGUGAAAAACUCCGGUGGUAUAAGAUGGACCCGCGUUGGAUUAGCUGGUUGGCAGGG